UCCUACGGGGGGCAGCAGUGAGGAAUAUUGGUCAAUGGGCUUACGCCUGAACCAGCCAAGUCGCGUGAGGGAUGACGGCCCUACGGGUUGUAAACCUCUUUUGUCGGGGAGCAAGACCCGCCUCGUGCAGGCGGAGCAAGAGUACCCGAAGAAAAAGCAUCGGCUAACUCCGCGCCAGCAACCGCGGUAAUACGGAGGAUGCGAGCGUUAUCCGGAUUUAUUGGGUUUAAAGGGUGCGCAGGCGGACCAUCAAGUCAGCGGUAAAAUCGUGGGGCCCAACCCCAUCCCGCCGUUGAAACUGGCGG
rnacentral:rRNA from 1 species